AGAGGAAGUAAAAGUCGUAACAAGGUUUCCGUAGGUGAACCUGCGGAAGGAUCAUUAUUGAAAUAAAUCUGAUGAGUUGCUGCUGGUUCUCUAGGGAGCAUGUGCACACUUGUCAUCUUUAUAUCUCCACCCUGUGCACCUUUUGUAGACCUGGAUCUCUCUCUGAGUGCUAGUUCACUCAGGUUUGAGGAUUGACUUUAUGUCUGUCCUUGCAUUUCCAGGCCUAUGUUCUUCAUAUACCCCCAAUGUAUGUUAUAGAAUGUAAUCAUUAGGCCUCUUUGUGCCUAUAAAUCUUAUACAACUUUCAGCAACGGAUCUCUUGGCUCUCGCAUCGAUGAAGAACGCAGCGAAAUGCGAUAAGUAAUGUGAAUUGCAGAAUUCAGUGAAUCAUCGAAUCUUUGAACGCACCUUGCGCUCCUUGGUAUUCCGAGGAGCAUGCCUGUUUGAGUGUCAUUAAUAUAUCAAUCUCUUCAGCUUUUGCUUGUUGAGCAUUUGGAUGUGGGGGUUGCUGGUCUUUCUCAGAUCAGCUCCCCUGAAAUGCAUUAGCAGAACAAUUUGUGGAACUGUUCAUUGGUGUGAUAACUAUCUACGCUAUUGACGUGAAGCAGGUUCAGCUUCUAACAGUCCAUUGACUUGGACAAAAUUUUCAUUAAUGUGACCUCAAAUCAGGUAGGACUACCCGCUGAACUUAAGCAUAUCAAUAAGCGGAGGAAAAGAAACUAACAAGGAUUCCCCUAGUAACUGCGAGUGAAGCGGGAAAAGCUCAAAUUUAAAAUCUGUCAGUCUUUGGCUGUCCGAGUUGUAAUCUAGAGAAGUGUUAUCCGCGCUGGACCGUGUACAAGUCUCCUGGAAUGGAGCGUCACAGAGGGUGAGAAUCCCGUCUUGAAACACGG
rnacentral:rRNA from 1 species